rnacentral:rRNA from 1 species
GGAAGUAAAAGUCGUAACAAGGUUUCCGUAGGUGAACCUGCGGAAGGAUCAUUACCGAGUUCACGCCCUCACGGGUAGACCUCCAACCCUUGUGUAUCUCUACCAUGUUGCUUUGGCCGGCUGCUCGACCCUUCGGGGGACAGCCUCAGCGCCCUCCGGGGCCCGAGAGUCGCCGGCCGGAGGAAAACCACAACUCUGAAUUGUCAGUGUCGUCUGAGUGACUAUCUAAUAGUUAAAACUUUCAACAACGGAUCUCUUGGUUCUGGCAUCGAUGAAGAACGCAGCGAAAUGCGAUAAGUAAUGUGAAUUGCAGAAUUCAGUGAAUCAUCGAAUCUUUGAACGCACAUUGCGCCCCUUGGUAUUCCGGGGGGCAUGCCUGUUCGAGCGUCAUUUCAACCCUCAAGCUCUGCUUGGUCUUGGGCCUGCGCCGGUCACACGGCGGGCCUCAAAGUCAGUGGCGGUGCCGCUGGGUCCUGAACGUAGUAACACAUACCUCUCGUUACAGGGUCCCCGCGCGCGCCCGCCGUAAAACCCCCCCUCAUUUUCGCUGGUUGACCUCGGAUCAGGUAGGGAUACCCGCUGAACUUAAGCAUAUCAAUAAGCGGAGGA